CGCGGGCUUAAGGGCUGAGGCAGAAGGAGGGAAGGACUGGGAGACAGACUAAACACCAGCGAGCAGAGCUCAGCUAUCUAGUUGACAGACCUCGCCGAGUUAACAGUUCUGCAUUCCAGGAAGCCGACAUAGUAAGCUCUAAGGACAGUGGCCAUGGAGACAGUGAACA